GAUGAGCCAGAUUUGGAAGUUUAGAUUAAAACUUCAAAAUGAUUUUAACUGAAGAGUUUGAUCAUGGCUCAGAUUGAACGCUGGCGGCAGGCUUAACACAUGCAAGUCGAGCGGGCGAGGUUGCUUCGGUAACUGAGCUAGCGGCGGACGGGUGAGUAAUGCUUAGGAAUCUGCCUAUUAGUGGGGGACAACAUUCCGAAAGGGAUGCUAAUACCGCAUACGUCCUACGGGAGAAAGCAGGGGCUCUCUUGUGACCUUGCGCUAAUAGAUGAGCCUAAGUCGGAUUAGCUAGUUGGUGGGGUAAAGGCCUACCAAGGCGACGAUCUGU
rnacentral:rRNA from 1 species